AGAGUUUGAUCCUGGCUCAGGAUGAACGCUAGCUACAGGCUUAACACAUGCAAGUCGAGGGGCAGCAUGGUCUUAGCUUGCUAAGGCCGAUGGCGACCGGCGCACGGGUGAGUAACACGUAUCCAACCUGCCGUCUACUCUUGGACAGCCUUCUGAAAGGAAGAUUAAUACAAGAUGGCAUCAUGAGUCCGCAUGUUCACAUGAUUAAAGGUAUUCCGGUAGACGAUGGGGAUGCGUUCCAUUAGAUAGUAGGCGGGGUAACGGCCCACCUAGUCUUCGAUGGAUAGGGGUUCUGAGAGGAAGGUCCCCCACAUUGGAACUGAGACACGGUCCAAACUCCUACGGGAGGCAGCAGUGAGGAAUAUUGGUCAAUGGACGAGAGUCUGAACCAGCCAAGUAGCGUGAAGGAUGACUGCCCUAUGGGUUGUAAACUUCUUUUAUAUGGGAAUAAAGUGAGCCACGUGUGGCUUUUUGUAUGUACCAUACGAAUAAGGAUCGGCUAACUCCGUGCCAGCAGCCGCGGUAAUACGGAGGAUCCGAGCGUUAUCCGGAUUUAUUGGGUUUAAAGGGAGCGUAGAUGGAUGUUUAAGUCAGUUGUGAAAGUUUGCGGCUCAACCGUAAAAUUGCAGUUGAUACUGGAUAUCUUGAGUGCAGUUGAGGCAGGCGGAAUUCGUGGUGUAGCGGUGAAAUGCUUAGAUAUCACGAAGAACUCCGAUUGCGAAGGCAGCCUGCUGGACUGUAACUGACGCUGAUGCUCGAAAGUGUGGGUAUCAAACAGGAUUAGAUACCCUGGUAGUCCACACAGUAAACGAUGAAUACUCGCUGUUUGCGAUAUACAGUAAGCGGCCAAGCGAAAGCGUUAAGUAUUCCACCUGGGGAGUACGCCGGCAACGGUGAAACUCAAAGGAAUUGACGGGGGCCCGCACAAGCGGAGGAACAUGUGGUUUAA
rnacentral:rRNA from 1 species